ACUCUGACCUGGCAGGAGAGAGUCCAUGAUCAUGAGGGUGGUUUCCCCGGGGGAGACUGUUCAUUGCACUCAGAUGUGCUGACCCCUAUGGUUUCUCCAAUGCAGGCACUCAGCUCCAUACUUUGUGGUAGCCCCUAAAACAAUUAUAUUUCUAAUAU
ensembl:snRNA U1 U1 spliceosomal RNA